rnacentral:rRNA from 1 species
GAUGAACGCUGGCGGCGUGCCUAAUACAUGCAAGUCGAGCGAACAGACGAGGAGCUUGCUCCUCUGACGUUAGCGGCGGACGGGUGAGUAACACGUGGAUAACCUACCUAUAAGACUGGGAUAACUUCGGGAAACCGGAGCUACUACCGGAUAAUAUAUUGAACCGCAUGGUUCAAUAGUGAAAGACGGUUUUGCUGUCACUUAUAGAUGGAUCCGCGCCGCAUUAGCUAGUUGGUAAGGUAACGGCCUACCAAGGCAACGAUGCGUAGCCGACCUGAGAGGGUGAUCGGCCACACUGGAACUGAGACACGGUCCAGACUCCUACGGGAGGCAGCAGUAGGGAAUCUUCCGCAAUGGGCGAAAGCUUGACGGAGCAACGCCGCGUGAGUGAUGAAGGUCUUCGGAUCGUAAAACUCUGUUAUUAGGGAAGAACAAAUGUGUAAGUAACUAUGCACGUCUUGACGGUACCUAAUCAGAAAGCCACGGCUAACUACGUG